GCUAAUUUACUUAAAUUUGUCAUGAUGAGAGUGAUUAUGGAAGGAAAUGUGCUGUAGCUAAAACCAAGAUUCCACACUUGUAAAUAGGAACUGCUGUGGACUAAAAGAGAGUAAAGACAAUUGUAGUGCGAUCAUCAGACUUGUAGAAAGUUGUGAGAGUGUUAAAGGUCACAUUCUGUGCUUAGAUAGGCAGGAUGGGCUCCCAUUGACCUCAGUAAGAGUCUAGCAUGCUUAUCUCAGAACAGAAUUUGGUUGCAAGACAUCAAUUUAAAAGACAGCUUUGUAUAUCUAAGAGGCUGCUAAAUACAGCUAGGACUGGGUUGGGAGAAGUGGAAGGAAUGCAGAAGAUGGAAAUCAAAGGUGUGACUGUGUUGCUAACUGGCAAUUCUGAGAAGAACAAGCACAGGGAAUUGUCUGCCCCGUUCCUUCCCAAUAAUGGGCUUGCAUUCUGACAUUACACCUGUCUCCACCUUCUCUUUCUGGUGACGUAUAAAGUCAGCGAACACAUCUUCUUUGUGUCUGAAGAAAUCAGAAGUGCAUCUGUCUGCUGCUAAAGCCAGAUCUAAACUUUUCUUUCUUCCCUUCCUGAGCAAACUGCCGCUUCAUUCAGAUUUCCAAUGGGAAACUGAAGCCACCUCACUGUGGAAAGGCUGCUGAGAAAUAAAACAAGCUCUGGAAUCUAAGAAGAAGGAAACACCAAUGAGAAGAAAGCGGGGAGGAGAGAGGACCAGUAGCCAUGGGGAUGAUAUUUUCUUUCCCGUUUUUUCAAGCAUUAUCUUGAAAUCUCAUUUUCAAUUAUCUUAUCUGUUCUAUAGUACAAAUGUUUUCUUAAGAAUCUCAGCUGGAUUUCACAUGGUUAUAACACAGGACUCAUCGUGAACCAUUAGAAGACGGCGGGUGAAGGGAAGGAAAGCAGAGAAAGAACUUCUCUGGGAGGAGAAGAGGAAGGGGACAGCAUCACCAAGGGGAAAGGGGAAUAGAGAAGAGUCACCAAUGGAGGAAAGGAGGCAAGUGGGACCUGAGCAGAGUUCCAUGAUGUCUUCCCACGUUACAGACAAAUGCUCUUCUAUUUUCAGCAUGUUCCCGUUAUAAUGCCCUGAGGAACCUUCGAAGGGAUCAAUGUGCUCCGCUGUCUGAACAGUCUGGUGCCUUUUUUUGUGUGUGGAGAAGAGGUCAUUAUAGGUCAUUCUAGUGUCACAUUUGGGGAAGGAGAGUAAAUUGCUGUGCAUUAAUAAAAAAAAAAAAAAGUGUGGCUGCUUUAUGGUACAUUAAUGUUUGCAUCCAGUAACAGCUCUGUUUAUUUUAGAGAGAGUCCCAUAUUCUCAGCUUGGGUACGAAAAAGGUUAUUCGGUUUCCCCUUGAAGACCUGCUUUUUCAUCCAUUUUGCUGAUAAAUAACACCCUCCCAACUGGCACUAAUUCACACUUGUGUCUGCAGUCUCAACAAAGAGGCCAAGGAUUUGGUGGCCAUGGAGAUUAAAUACCCCCAAAGGCAGAAUAGGGAGAAAAGAAAAUAUUUUUCUGGAAAGCUGGGACUGUCCCAAGGACAGCUGGCACAAAUCUCCUAGGAGAUUUCUCCAGCUCAGGGUUGGAAUAUAUAGCAAGAGGCCAGACUGGGGGAAGUUUGCAUUGCAGAUGCCCAUGUUGUACCUGUAAACCUCUUUCUCUGGAUACUGGACUCGCUCUUUCUGGAGAGUAUUAAUUAGUUUGGAGUGGGGUUUCUGACUGGGUGAUUGUGUGCAGUUACUUGUGCCUCUGACUUGACUACACUAGCAGUGCCUGGCUGAAUGCGUGUGGCUCUCUGAGUGCUUCUGAAAAUCACGGUUAAGUGGCCAGGCCCCAGGCUCUCCUUCUAGAAGUGCACGGCCCUGAGGGUUCUGGGGGGGACUUGAACACAACUAACAAAGCAGUUUUCAAAAUUCCCUGAGCAUCCAAAGAGACUCUGAGCUCUGUUUGGUGUAUGCUGCAGCCUGCAGGCCAUGUGAACAAGUGCACGUUUGUAAAAUUCUGGCAUCAGCCUGUGUUUCAGCUUCCCCUUGUGUAAAGUGGGUAUACAAUACUGAAUGUACGUAAAGCGCACCGAGCUCUUUGGUGGAGUGUGUAUAUACAUAGGAAGUACAAUAAAUUAUUAUUAUAGGCUUCAAAGGGCAAAACG